GACGAACGCUGGCGGCGUGCUUAACACAUGCAAGUCGAACGGACUUCUGGGGUUCUGGCUUUUUUGGUUGGGGUUCUGGGGGUUAGUGGCGAACGGGUGAGUAACACGUGAGUAACCUGCCCUUCACUUCUGGAUAACCGCUUGAAAGGGUGGCUAAUACGGGAUGUUUCUGGGUCUGUCGCAUGGCGGGUUCGGGAAAGAUGGCACUGUUUGGUGUUUUUGGUGGGGGAUGGGCUCGCGGCCUAUCAGCUUGUUGGUGGGGUGAUGGCCUGCCAAGGCUUUGACGGGUAGCCGGCCUGAGAGGGUGGGCGGUCACACUGGGACUGAGAUACGGCCCAGACUCCUACGGGAGGCAGCAGUGGGGAAUAUUGCACAAUGGGCGCAAGCCUGAUGCAGCGACGCCGCGUGAGGGAUGGAGGCCUUCGGGUUGUGAACCUCUUUCGCCAGUGAGGAAGGCCUUGCCCGUGUGGUGGGGUUGACGGUAGCUGGGUUAAUUGAAGCGCGGC
rnacentral:rRNA from 1 species